rnacentral:miRNA from 1 species
CCCGGGGACUGCUGGCCAGG